rnacentral:misc_RNA from 1 species
UCAAACUUGGUCAUUUAGAGGAAGUAAAAGUCGUAACAAGGUUUCCGUAGGUGAACCUGCGGAAGGAUCAUUAACAAAAUGGGGGUUGCUGGCGGACGUUUGGUUCAUGCAACCGCUCGCCCGCCCGGCUACACCCCAAUUCCGGCGUGCGCGAGGGCGAGGCAGCCUGACAGGCUCGGGCUGCCCCUCCCGAACGCAUGUUCCCAUCCGUGUCUUUGGAGUACCUGUUCGUUUCCUCGGCGGGCUCGCCCGCCAACGGGGACCAACCCAAACCCUUUUUUGUUGUAGCAGUACCGUCUGAUCAAAACAAACCUUUUAAAACUUUCAACAACGGAUCUCUUGGUUCUGGCAUCGAUGAAGAACGCAGC